rnacentral:sRNA from 1 species
GAAUAUGAUCAUACCAGCACUAAUACAUUAGAUUUCAUCAGAACUCCGAAGUUAAAUUAUCUCCAAGGAACGUGAUGUAAUAAUAGAGAGUUUGCGAUAUGCC